AAUGGAGGGGAAAACCCGACUAGCUAUUUCUGUUGACAACACGUGGCAGAGGCACAUCCAUGGAGUCAUCUUUAAGCAGCCCAAGGAUCUCGAUCUCAGGUUGAGAAGCCCCGAGGACAACCAAGAGCUUUCUUAGCCAACCAUUCUGCUCCCUAUAUAAAUGCUUUGGGUUCUCGACAACACUCUCCCUCCAUCUUAUGAACCAACAACUUGCUUCCAUCAAUAUAUAGACAGACACGAAUAUACUUCUUUUUGUCGGUUUAAUUUCCAUUCACAACAUCCGGGCACAAUGGCUACAAUGUCUUGCAACACUGGAUGAACAACUAUACAUACAACAGCGUGAAUACAGAGUAGAUGCAAUUGGUUCAGUUCUUUUUCGGGUGACGGGGGAAACUCGCAACCAUUAUCCGAGGGUGUGCACUGAGUAAACCCCGCCUUGUAGCUCUAGCAGACAAAAGGUCACAAGGAGGUAAACCAGCCUAGGUUGCUUGUAGUUGACCGACUCAAACUAAGAUGACUGAGAUUCAAACUUGCGACCUUGUGGUUACAAGUUUGUAUUGUAUGUACAGAUGGUGUGAGCCGCCUUGUGCUCAAGGGAUUAUAUUAUAUUAAUGCCUAUGCCAGAGAAUGAUACUUUUUUCAUGAUCAUGGCCUUUGCUGCUGUAGUCCUUCACAUACUGCCUGACGCAUUCCAGACCUUAAAAUCCCUUAAGGAAAUACUAUGUGUACUCUUAUUCUCUACUCCCACACUCAAAAUCUUGAGGUAAACACUUGUAAUGGGGCCCACAUGAAAAUAAUAAUAAUUUAUUA